rnacentral:misc_RNA from 1 species
AAGUCGUAACAAGGUUUCCGUAGGUGAACCUGCGGAAGGAUCAUUAACACUUAUUAUUAUCCAAUAUCAACCACAAAACCAAACGGUCACUUUUCUUCUCCCUUUUCGCUACCGGAGACGGUACGAUUAGGCUAAACUUUUUUUUAAUUUUUAACCCCAUUUAAUUUUUCUCUUGUAAUGAAAGAAAAACUCAACUCUUCGAUUUUGUUUUGUAAUGAAGCAAAAACGAACUAAACUAAAAUAUACAUUUGAUUAUAUUUUUAUUUUACGAAAUAAUAUAUAUUUAUUAAGAACAACUCUUAGCAAUGGAUAUCUUGGUUCUC